GCACUGCUGACGAGUCCCAAACAGGAUGAAACAGCUGUCCUGUGC
rnacentral:hammerhead_ribozyme from 1 species